rnacentral:rRNA from 1 species
AUUGAACGCUGGCGGCAUGCUUUACACAUGCAAGUCGAACGGCAGCGCGGGCUUCGGCCUGGCGGCGAGUGGCGAACGGGUGAGUAAUGCAUCGGAACGUGCCCAGUAGUGGGGGAUAGCCCGGCGAAAGCCGGAUUAAUACCGCAUACGACCUGAGGGUGAAAGCGGGGGACCGAAAGGCCUCGCGCUAUUGGAGCGGCCGAUGUCGGAUUAGCUAGUUGGUGGGGUAAAGGCUUACCAAGGCGACGAUCCGUAGCUGGUCUGAGAGGACGACCAGCCACACGGGGACGGAAACACGGCCCAGACUCCUACGGGAGGCAGCAGUGGGGAAUUUUGGACAAUGGGGGCAACCCUGAUCCAGCCAUGCCGCGUGCGGGAAGAAGGCCUUCGGGUUGUAAACCGCUUUUGUUCGGGAAGAAAUCCUCUGGGCUAAUACCCCGGGGGGAUGACGGUACCGGAAGAAUAAGCACCGGCUAACUACGUG